GAUGAACGCUGGCGGCGUGCCUAAUACAUGCAAGUCGAGCGAACGGACGAGAAGCUUGCUUCUCUGAUGUUAGCGGCGGACGGGUGAGUAACACGUGGAUAACCUACCUAUAAGACUGGGAUAACUUCGGGAAACAGGAGCUAAUACCGGAUAAUAUUUUGAACCGCAUGGUUCAAAAGUGAAAGACGGUCUUGCUGUCACUUAUAGAUGGAUCCGCGCUGCAUUAGCUAGUUGGUAAGGUAACGGCUUACCAAGGCAACGAUGCAUAGCCGACCUGAGAGGGUGAUCGGCCACACUGGAACUGAGACACGGUCCAGACUCCUACGGGAGGCAGCAGUAGGGAAUCUUCCGCAAUGGGCGAAAGCCUGACGGAGCAACGCCGCGUGAGUGAUGAAGGUCUUCGGAUCAUAAAACUCUGUUAUUAGGGAAGAACAUAUGUGUAAGUAACUGUGCACAUCUUGACGGUACCUAAUCAGAAAGCCACGGCUAACUACGUG
rnacentral:rRNA from 1 species